rnacentral:tRNA from 1 species
GGAGGGCUGUCCGAGCGGCCGAUGGAGCUUGUCUUGAAAACAAGUGAGGGUAAAACCUUCGUGGGUUCGAAUCCCACGCCCUCCGC